rnacentral:lncRNA from 1 species
GUCAGGGAAGAACUCAUGGAUUCGCUGCAGACAUGCGGAAGAAGUGUUGGCCAUUUCAGAGAGAUUGUCCCAUUAAAGUCCCUGACUGUUUACCAAGCAGCAUAGAGAGGCUACUGCAAAACAUGGCAAGGCAUCUGUCUACAGAACUCCUGUCAGACAUCUGGACCAGUGUCUUGUGUUAAGGGGAAAUUUGGAGAACAUAUUUGCAAAUGGAAAAACAAUUUCCCUGCCUUAUCUUCUCAUUGGAAACGGUUCUGACAAGCAUGAUAUCUCUUGCUUUGUGGACUAUUUUGCCCAACAUUUACCUUGAGCAAUUUCUUGGCAGUUAUUUUGUUCAUGCAAAGAAAUGCAUCUCUUCACAUUUAAGAGGUUCUAUGACUAUCUUAGGUGGAGAGGAUUUGGGAGUAUAAAACUAUUUCCCUGAGGAUCUUUAACACAGCUAUCUGAAGCCCCAAAGUACUAGGGACCUCAAGCACAAGUUGUUAUCACUCCACUGUGAAGAAAUGGGCAACAGUGCUAAGCAAAGGAUGGACUUUCUUUAAGUGACCUGGGAAACCAUGUGCAGGCUCCUUGGAUACUUGGAGGUAGGAAAUCCCAGAUCAGGAGAAUGCAUUUGUUGUCCUUGGAAUGGGGACGUGAUCUUUUACUGAUCCGAUUAUGGAAACAUAUUUUUGUGCUCCAAGGGGGUGAAGUAGCUAUUUCACUAAGAGCAUAUUUCUUAGUUUCUCCUACAUUAUAACACGUAAUGCUUGCUAACUGAAGGAAUCAAUGAAAUCAGUGCUAACUAAUGAAUCAAUGAAACUAAUGUCAGAAACAAACUAGAAAGAAAGGAGCUCUGUUGGCCCACUAGUUGCUUGUCUUAUUAUCUAAGGUUGAACAAUGAGCAGUGUUUCCAAAAUGUGGCUAAAGGUUAGAUCACUUCUUGACGAGGAUGCUUUGAUUUUAUUCUUUCGUCUUUUUUCUAGAUUCCAACCAAUCUGAGCCUGCCUCUUCUUUAAGUUUCCACACUUCAUGUUUUCUCCUUUUCAUAAUCUUGCUGUUCCAGAUUUUAAAACGAUGAUCAAGGGGAAAGUGUUGCCAUUGACUAAUCGGUUUCUAUUUGAAUCAGAGAGACUGCCUUUGUGUGCCACCCCUAGUACCCAACCCAAGACAUGUAGAAUCUCAGUAUAAUAAAGUAUCCAAGUCAUUCCA